GCAAGUCGAACGAACUCUGGUAUUGAUUGGUGCUUGCAUCAUGAUUUACAUUUGAGUGAGUGGCGAACUGGUGAGUAACACGUGGGAAACCUGCCCAGAAGCGGGGGAUAACACCUGGAAACAGAUGCUAAUACCGCAUAACAACUUGGACCGCAUGGUCCGAGUUUGAAAGAUGGCUUCGGCUAUCACUUUUGGAUGGUCCCGCGGCGUAUUAGCUAGAUGGUGGGGUAACGGCUCACCAUGGCAAUGAUACGUAGCCGACCUGAGAGGGUAAUCGGCCACAUUGGGACUGAGACACGGCCCAAACUCCUACGGGAGGCAGCAGUAGGGAAUCUUCCACAAUGGACGAAAGUCUGAUGGAGCAACGCCGCGUGAGUGAAGAAGGGUUUCGGCUCGUAAAACUCUGUUGUUAAAGAAGAACAUAUCUGAGAGUAACUGUUCAGGUAUUGACGGUAUUUAACCAGAAAGCCACGGCUAACUACGUGCCAGCAGCCGCGGUAAUACGUAGGUGGCAAGCGUUGUCCGGAUUUAUUGGGCGUAAAGCGAGCGCAGGCGGUUUUUUAAGUCUGAUGUGAAAGCCUUCGGCUCAACCGAAGAAGUGCAUCGGAAACUGGGAAACUUGAGUGCAGAAGAGGACAGUGGAACUCCAUGUGUAGCGGUGAAAUGCGUAGAUAUAUGGAAGAACACCAGUGGCGAAGGCGGCUGUCUGGUCUGUAACUGACGCUGAGGCUCGAAAGUAUGGGUAGCAAACAGGAUUAGAUACCCUGGUAGUCCAUACCGUAAACGAUGAAUGCUAAGUGUUGGAGGGUUUCCGCCCUUCAGUGCUGCAGCUAACGCAUUAAGCAUUCCGCCUGGGGAGUACGGCCGCAAGGCUGAAACUCAAAGGAAUUGACGGGGGCCCGCACAAGCGGUGGAGCAUGUGGUUUAAUUCGAAGCUACGCGAAGAACCUUACCAGGUCUUGACAUACUAUGCAAAUCUAAGAGAUUAGACGUUCCCUUCGGGGACAUGGAUACAGGUGGUGCAUGGUUGUCGUCAGCUCGUGUCGUGAGAUGUUGGGUUAAGUCCCGCAACGAGCGCAACCCUUAUUAUCAGUUGCCAGCAUUAAGUUGGGCACUCUGGUGAGACUGCCGGUGACAAACCGGAGGAAGGUGGGGAUGACGUCAAAUCAUCAUGCCCCUUAUGACCUGGGCUACACACGUGCUACAAUGGAUGGUACAACGAGUUGCGAACUCGCGAGAGUAAGCUAAUCUCUUAAAGCCAUUCUCAGUUCGGAUUGUAGGCUGCAACUCGCCUACAUGAAGUCGGAAUCGCUAGUAAUCGCGGAUCAGCAUGCCGCGGUGAAUACGUUCCCGGGCCUUGUACACACCGCCCGUCACACCAUGAGAGUUUGUAACACCCAAAGUCGGUGGGGUAACCU
rnacentral:rRNA from 1 species